UGGGGAAUAUUGGACAAUGGGCGCAAGCCUGAUCCAGCCAUGCCGCGUGCAGGAUGAAGGCCUUCGGGUUGUAAACUGCUUUUUGUACGGAACGAAAAGACUCUGGUUAAUACCUGGGGUCCAUGACGGUACCGUAAGAAUAAGCACCGGCUAACUACGUGCCAGCAGCCGCGGUAAUACGUAGGGUGCGAGCGUUAAUCGGAAUUACUGGGCGUAAAGCGUGCGCAGGCGGUUAUAUAAGACAGAUGUGAAAUCCCCGGGCUCAACCUGGGAACUGCAUUUGUGACUGUAUAGCUAGAGUACGGUAGAGGGGGAUGGAAUUCCGCGUGUAGCAGUGAAAUGCGUAGAUAUGCGGAGGAACACCGAUGGCGAAGGCAAUCCCCUGGACCUGUACUGACGCUCAUGCACGAAAGCGUGGGGAGCAAACAGGAUUAGAUACCCAAGUAGUCCCUGAGCGGGCUGGCAAGGCGCAU
rnacentral:rRNA from 1 species